AAAUCUAAGCCAUCCAUCUGAAUCACAACGUGACCAUGGGAUCCAGAUACCCAAUGGUCAUCUAAACUUCCAGACACGACUCACAACGUUACCAUCCGACGUGGCACGUCUCUAACGGCUCCCAAUAGUUUCCACGUCACGCGCCGACUUAACCCAAAGAUCGCGACACCCACUUUAAACUACUCCGGCGGUAUACGCUACCGCAGCCCGAGCCCUAUACGGCUAUACCUAUAGACUGCCGAGAAAUACUCCACGGGUGACGCUAGGGUUUCCAACGGAUCAAAAAGAGACAUCGGAGGGAGAUGGGAAUUCGAAUUGAUGGGGAACCUUGUUCGAAGCCGCGCGCCCGAGCUCCAAACCCUAAACCCUCGGAUGGACGGCUUCUCAAGCUUCCCUUCCCGCGUCCCCCGGCAAUUCCACCUCGACGUCGCCUCCUAUCGCGCUCUGUUUCGUGUCUUCUCCUGCCUCGACGAAACCCUCGUUCGUCCUCAUGAAUCUCGUAAAUAUCCAAACCCUGGAUCGGAUGAAGUGCCGUAGAGCUCUUGUACCGGUAAAGAUUCGAUCUUUGAUGGAAGAUGUGAUGGAAUCGUGGCGGAGGAACUCGGGCAUGGUUGGAAAGGGGGAAGGCACGGUGGAUUUGGAGGCAGUGAGAGGAGUAGAGAUUCGGCAUGUGGAAACCGUCGGUUUGAUGAUUCUUCUUUUAAUGGAAAUAUUGGUUUAAGGGAGGAAUUAGGCGACGGCAGAGACUUUCCAAAAGAUGUACCUCUUCAAAACGCUAAAGUAGCGGAUGGCAAGGAUCGGAAUUCCUGUUCAGAACAAGGAAGGAAUCAUGAAACUCUAGAUGCAAACGGUAAAAAGAUUGUCUCUGGGGAAGGAAUGAUCUAUUCUUCUGAGGAAUUACUUCAUGUCUUCAUGGUAAAAUGAGAGCACAGGGCACGGUCAAUGCAUAAAAAUGAUGUAUUAACUGAAUAUACGUUUCCUGAAAAGCAUGUGAUGGAUAAAGUUCGGGAUAAAGAAAUUAAGUUAAUGAAAGAAUGAGGAGAAAGGUUGCAACAAGUAACACACUGUUGUCCCGAUUCUUUGAUGGAAGUUUUGGGUCAAGAAAGAUGAAUUCCAGUAGUGUCCAAUGUUAGGUUCAGAGGAUGAUGGAGACAUCAAGAACGAUGAAAUUUAGUGGAAAGGACGACAUCUUGUGGCUCUCCUAAGAAAGAGCAUACAAACAUGUUUUGUACUGAAGCAGACAUGCAUGCAAGUGAAGGUAACUGCAAGGGUGAUGAGUCAGCUACGCCCAUACAUAUUACCAAGGAUGAAAUAAUGCAUGUUUAAAAAACUCACGCUCUAGAAUUGGCUGGAUGUGGGAACUCACGCUCUAGAAUUGGCUGGAGAGAACUCAGAAAAAACAACGAGUACCAACAAAGAAAAACAUCCAACGAUGAGCCCGACCAAGGCACUGAGCUAGUUGGGCUGCUGGAGUGCUCCAAUCGUCAGUUGUUUAGGUCGGAAGAUCGACUAAGGGUCACUGCUUGUCCCUGCAAUGACGGUUCGAUGGCUGCUGAGCUUGGGUGGUGAUGACUCCUACACUAGUCACCCUUGAAGGUGAUGGAGAUCUAGCUCAGACCUUCGCUCCGACGUAGGGAUCUGACAUGAAACAACAAAGACAGGGGAGUUCUCUUGCCGGAGAGCCGACGGGGAUCUUUUGAUGCCUAAAUCAGUCUAACUUUUAAGAAACAACGAAGGUGUUGUGAGAGCGGCAGAAUGACAAUGCAAAAGAAAUAAAGGAGCGCUUCUAGGGCUCAAGAAUGUUUGUUUGGAGGGUCCUCUGGGAGUUGUUUAUAUAGGCAAUGAUCGGCACCUGUCGUCAAGGAAAUCGAGUAUGCGGAUUGGCUAUUUUUGAUAACAGAUUGCGCAUGUCAAAGAUCAUGCCUGGAUGUUUCGUCCAUGCAUCUCGCAUGCAGUUAUGGAAAUUGUUCACAAUCGUGGCUAAGCUAUUGCCAGUUGGGGGGUAAGAGUUUGAAAUUCGAAGGACUCUGCGCACACCUUUAGGGUCUGCCAUGUGGCAAACUUUGUUUGGUUGGUCAGAAGUUUCGUGGUGAGCUCUCACUGGUUGGUAUGCCAUGUCGGCUGUGGUUGGCUCUGAGGUGUAUCGUCUUCCAUUAGAGACAUUUUCAAAAAUAACUUUAAUACAUUGUUUGUUUAAAAUUGGGAUUUCAUUUUUCAUGGACAAUUCUUUUUCUAAUGAUUGUUUAAUAUUCAGUAAUUCAUUGAAAUGGUGUUUUUGUUUUUAUAUUUUUCUUGCUAUUUGCAGCACGGGCAAAAGUUUUUGUAUUAAAUAGAAUAGUUAAUCUUGUAAUCAUCACUUUUAUCUUUGCUUUAAAAAUAUAUUAUUGCUUUUACAUGUUCUUGGUAUCAUAAAAUUAGAUUUCUAACUUAUCUAAGUGAUCUGUCAGACAUGUGCUGCUAUACUGUUUUUACAAGUUGGUUCUUUUAAUUUGACAAUAUGUUGUUUUUGCUACUACAGAAAAAUGGUCUUGUAGAGCAGAUGUUCUAACUCAUCCAAGUGAUCUAUCCGAAAUUUACUACUCCAGUGCUUUUUACAAAUAAGUUCUCUUAAUCAGACACAGAUAUGCUGGGUCACUUUCACAUGUUGUAGGAUAAGGAAUGGCUUAUACCAUUUUGGCUCCUAUAGGAAACAGGCUCUUGAAGCGAGGGUGAUGAGAAGGCGAGGAGCUUUAACUGAGGAAAGAAAAGCUAAACAAAAGGUUGUGUACUGGUUCCUGUAUUACUUCCUUGCUACCUAGAUGUCAAUAUCAUAGUGAAAACUACUUCAUUGUGUGAAGUUUUCCCUCCUGUGGGGUUGCAAGUCCAACAUGGUGUCAGAAGAGCACUGAAAGGAUUCACAUGGUCAAAGCACUUGCCAUCAUAAUUUCAUUUUAGGAUAAAACGAAUAUAGGUGCGAAAGAGAGCCCAAUUGCAGUGUCUUCUUCUGAAAUCAUCUUAAGCUAGAGGAAUGGUAGUCAUACUUGUUUGGUGGGUAAAGUGACAGUACUCAAUCUAGAAAGGGUCAGCUUUGCCAUUACUGUGGAAAAUAAUUCCAGCCCUAAAGGAGGUCCUAAGGACCACAUUGUAAUGUAUAGUCAUCUAUGUACAAAGCUGGUGCAUUUGAUUUUAAAAAUUUA